UGAGGAAUAUUGGUCAAUGGACGCAAGUCUGAACCAGCCAAGUAGCGUGCAGGUUGACGGCCCUAUGGGUUGUAAACUGCUUUUAUAUGGGGAUAAAGUGGGGAACGUGUUCCCUUUUGCAGGUACCAUAUGAAUAAGGACCGGCUAAUUCCGUGCCAGCAGCCGCGGUAAUACGGAAGGUUCGGGCGUUAUCCGGAUUUAUUGGGUUUAAAGGGAGCGUAGGCCGUUUGGUAAGCGUGUUGUGAAAUGUAGGAGCUCAACUUCUAGAUUGCAGCGCGAACUGUCAGACUUGAGUGCGCACAACGUAGGCGGAAUUCAUGGUGUAGCGGUGAAAUGCUUAGAUAUCAUGAAGAACUCCGAUUGCGAAGGCAGCUUACGGGAGCGCAACUGACGCUGAAGCUCGAAGGUGCGGGUAUCGAACAGG
rnacentral:rRNA from 1 species